rnacentral:rRNA from 1 species
AUUGAACGCUGGCGGCAUGCCUUACACAUGCAAGUCGAACGGUAACAGGUCUUCGGAUGCUGACGAGUGGCGAACGGGUGAGUAAUACAUCGGAACGUGCCUAGUAGUGGGGGAUAACUACUCGAAAGAGUGGCUAAUACCGAAUGAGAUCUACGGAUGAAAGCAGGGGAUCGCAACACCUUGUGCUCCUAGUGCGGCCGAUGGCAGAUUAGGUAGUUGGUGGGAUAAAAGCUUGCCAAGCCGAAGAUCUGUAGCUGGUCUGAGAGGACGAUCAGCCACACUGGGACUGAGACACUGCCCAGACUCCUACGGGAGGCAGCAGUGGGGAAUUUUGGACAAUGGGCGAAAGCCUGAUCCAGCAAUGCCGCGUGCAGGAUGAAGGCCUUCGGGUUGUAAACUGCUUUUGUACGGAACGAAAAGCCCUGGGUUAAUACCCUGGGGUCAUGACGGUACCGUAAGAAUAAGCACCGGCUAACUACGUGCCAGCAGCCGCGGUAA